rnacentral:rRNA from 1 species
GACGAACGCUGGCGGCGUGCCUAAUACAUGCACGUAGAACGCUGAAGGCGGAGCUUGCUUCUCUGGAUGAGUUGCGAACGGGUGAGUAACGCGUAGGUAACCUGCCUGGUAGCGGGGGAUAACUAUUGGAAACGAUAGCUAAUACCGCAUAAUAGUAGAUGUUGCAUGACAUUUGCUUAAAAGGUGCAAUUGCAUCACUACCAGAUGGACCUGCGUUGUAUUAGCUAGUUGGUGGGGUAACGGCUCACCAAGGCGACGAUACAUAGCCGACCUGAGAGGGUGAUCGGCCACACUGGGACUGAGACACGGCCCAGACUCCUACGGGAGGCAGCAGUAGGGAAUCUUCGGAAAUGGACGGAAGUCUGACCGAGCAACGCCGCGUGAGUGAAGAAGGUUUUCGGAUCGUAAAGCUCUGUUGUAAGAGAAGAACGAGUGUGAGAGUGGAAAGUUCACACUGUGACGGUAUCUUACCAGAAAGGGACGGCUAACUACGUG